ACAAAGCGCUGAUGUAAACCCCGGACAGAAACAGACUUGUCGAGAAGACACAGAGGAGGGGAAGUGAGAGAGAGAGAGAGAGAGAGAGAGAGAGAGAGAGAGAGAUGGAAAGCUCACAGAGGUAGCGGGGCGUUCGAGGCAUACACAGAGAUGCACAGAACUUUGAAACAUCUGAGCAGCAGCUCCAAAGAAGGAGCUGAAGGUGAACCUUUCCCAAGAGUGAAAAAGAAAAGAAAGAAAGGACAACAACAAGUUUUGGACCUUCCAUUCAAUAAUGAGUACACAGGAACUCAUUUCAGAACACUACAGAAAUUUGGAAUUUGAGGAAUACUGAGGUCCAAUUAUUCAGGCCACAAAGGAAAUGGCGCUUCCGGUGCACAGCGAAGGCUGUUCCACAUUCCCAUCUAAGAGAGCAUGCUGCAUUUUACAGCCAGACUGGCAUUCCACCUGAUGUGUAUUCGAAGUAGAGCUGGUUAAUGACGACCAUGAGCAGGUGCAGGUUCCAAGCGGGAAGCUUUGAAAUCUUUACCUCUUUUAUCCACACUCCUGAUUUCCUAAAAGAUGAAGCCCAUUCAACCUGUACUGCUACCCAAAUCUCCUGGUAAACUUAGGUUUAGUGCCUGCCUUCGGCCCAGGGCAUGAUCCUGGAGUCCUGGGAUCGAGUCCCAUGUCGGGCUCCCUGCAUGGAGCCUGCUUCUCCCUCUGCCUGUGUCUCUGCCUCUCUCUGU